rnacentral:rRNA from 1 species
UGGGGAAUAUUGCACAAUGGGCGCAAGCCUGAUGCAGCCAUGCCGCGUGUGUGAAGAAGGCCUUCGGGUUGUAAAGCACUUUCAGCGAGGAGGAAGGUGGUGAGCUUAAUACGCUCAUCAAUUGACGUUACUCGCAGAAGAAGCACCGGCUAACUCCGUGCCAGCAGCCGCGGUAAUACGGAGGGUGCAAGCGUUAAUCGGAAUUACUGGGCGUAAAGCGCACGCAGGCGGUUUGUUAAGUCAGNUGUGAAAUCCCCGGGGCUCAACCUGGGAACUGCAUUUGAAACUGGCAAGCUAGAGUCUCGUAGAGGGGGGUAGAAUUCCAGGUGUAGCGGUGAAAUGCGUAGAGAUCUGGGGGAAUACCGUGGCGAAGGCGGCCCCCCUGGACGAAGACUGACGCUCAGGUGCGAAAGCGUGGGGCAGCAAACAGGAUUAGAUACCCUGG